UGAGUAAGACAUAAAGAAAACUUGUUGAGAUAAUCCCAGAGAUUAUUUUAAGUGAUAAUUUUUUUUGCAUCUGUAUUAGGAUUGUUAUUGUUAACAUAAACCAGAAAUUUAAUUUGCAAAUUGAUGGUUGGAGAGAAGUCUUAAAAUGCGCUUAGGAUAGAAGAUGAGAGUAAUUAAAGGAGGCUGGUACUUCAGAUGUUUUGAGUAGCUGUAGAGCAGGCUAGCGAAUAUUAUACCUACUCCUAUAAUAGUGCAUGUUUAAUUGUAUAUGACAAUUACAUAUCCUAUGAAUUCGUAAGAAAAUUGAAAAAUACGACUUUUUCUAAUAGUACAAAUAAUAUCUUCAAUUUCGGGUGCAUAUACUAAGUCUAAGAGCCCAUAGCAAAUUUUGGGAGUGGAGGUAUAACCAAAAUUCUGGCAGCUUUAAAUCGCGGCUUGAUAUGGUUUCUGAGGGGUUAAAUAUCGCGAGUUUUCCAAUUAAUGUGAGUAGGCUAAAUUAACACAAAAUCACAUUCUGAAUAUAAGGACUGAUGCUCUGUCAUUUCCCCAAAGCCUGAAGACAUCAAACUUGACAGUGCGAUCAAUAGAACUCAAGAUAUGUAUUGAAACAGUACAUAAACCAAAGAACAAAAUUGUUAAAAAAAGUAGACAGCGGAAACAUUUUAAACUCAAUUCGAAAUUAAAAAACUGCAAAUAAAAGUCUAUUGUGU